AUCUUUAUAUAUAAAAGAAGCUUUCUAUCUCUCCCGCUAUGUCCACGUCAGAUUCCACGUUGGAAAUACCCACUUUCAGAGCGUGACACGCGUCCGUGUAAAUGAAACUCCGCGUAUUGGUGUAUUGGGCUCUGGCUCGAGAUUGUAUUUGAGGCCCGUGUUACUCUCCGGUCCAGCGAAACCCUAAUCAUUGUAGACUUGGUCAUUCGUCGUCUUCGCGUCUUCGCUCACUUCGAUCGCGACGAGACGAUACAAUUUCCGUAACAGAGAGACUGCUCCGCCGCCAUCGAUUUCAUCAAAGGAGUUUCUAGGGUUUUGGGGGUUGGUGUCGUGGACAUCUGAAGCCGUGGUUUCAGUACUAUAUCAUGUGAGAUCAACGAAGCUCGGAAGUUAAGAAGAAGAGCUAAAUCUCAUGAUUUCCUACAAAGAUCGAGGGUUACUACAUAGGACUGGAGAGGCUCUGUCGGGAGAGACUAUCAAAAAGCAACACAAUCAUUUCCGUCGCCGGCGAAUUACUCUCACUGGAAAAUAAAUAUUUUGAAGAAUGAAGAGUAACUUAGACGACAGCAACGAUGAAAAGAAGCCUGAGCGAAAGCGCCCUGCUCUUGCUAGUGUGAUUGUUGAGGCGAUGAAAGUUGACAGCUUGCAGAAGCUCUGCUCCUCUCUGGAACCUAUCCUCCGCAGAGUUGUGAGUGAGGAAGUGGAACGUGCUUUGGCUAAGUUCAUCACGUCUAGGCUAUGGUCAAAAUAUAUAGUGCCUCUUCAGAGAAAAUAAUACGGAAGUCUGAGAAACUCUUAAGAGAGAAAAGAAGUGAAGGUACACAUCCAAUUUGGAUCUUGAAGAAGAAUUCUAGCUCUCUCCGGUAAUGUUACCUCUUAAGUUAAUCAAAGCUUUCGGAUUAACUGCGUAUGUGAAACGAUUCUCUGUUUCCGUUUGAUAUGCUUCAAAAAGAUUCAAGAGCAUAACAUUGAUGCCUUAUGUGUUUAUAUGAUUAUGUGAUAUGUGUGGGGGUACAGGAAAAUGUAAACUGUUACGGUGGAAGGUUUGCUUGGUCAGUUUAGGUACAGGUUUACCAAACAACAAAGGACUCAUUAGAAGGCCUGGUGCAGUGAGCUACUCGACACAAUGUACAAUGGUCGUCUUCUUCCCAAUUCUUGAGCCAG